CCUAUGCCUCCACAGCUGGACACAGAACUCUGCAACUGCACAUUGUAAUAUCAGCAACAGAGGAAAGGGACUACCGCUUCAGUUGGAGGUGCUCUUGCUUACAGUUAGAGGUGCUAUAGUUGGAGGUACUACGGCAGUUACGACAAUGCUGCGGGUAUCACCGAAACAUCAUACAACCAUGACCGGAGUGACCAUACCUGGAAUGAUACUUGGAAUCAUACUUACAGCAACGCUGUUUGUGGGGAAUGCGGAGACCACUGGCUGGACCUGUGGAGAGCGACCCGAGGGAUGUCAAGUGGCAGCACAAGGGCAUGGAGUAACUCGAUAUUUCUUCUACAUCUCGAAUAGAACUUGCUACAGCAAGUACGUUCGGAAUUGUGAAGGCUAUGGAGCAGAUAGUAUGCUUAAAUGUACUCUACAUUGCGGGCACACAAAGUAGAGAUUUACUUUUCGUGCCGUGAAAUACAAUCGCAAAUGAUCAGGAUACCAUUAAAGCGCUUUACCAGUAAUUCCAAGAAGUCUGGCAUCAUUAAUUGUGCUAAAGUUUUAUUACUUCAAAACACGUCUCCACCCGCCGCGAUAUCGUAGUGGCUUUGACAUUGCGCUGCUAAGACCGAGAUCCAGUUUGAAAUCCCGUACCACGGCGGUGGCAUUUCAUUGGAGGCGGAAUGCAACGACGCCGGGGUAUUGUGCAUUGGGUGAACGUUAAAGAUCUCCAGGUGGUCAAAUUUAAUCCUGAGUCCUGCACAAUGGCGUGCCUCAAUGAUAUCGUGGUUUUCGCAUGUAAAACCUAAGAAUCUAAUUUUUUUAGCAUGUGUCUCUUUAUUCGAUGGUCGAAAUAAACAUGUC